rnacentral:rRNA from 1 species
AGCGAACGCUGGCGGCAGGCCUAACACAUGCAAGUCGAACGAACUCUUCGGAGUUAGUGGCGGACGGGUGAGUAACACGUGGGAACGUGCCUUUAGGUUCGGAAUACCUCAGGGAAACUUGUGCUAAUACCGAAUGUGCCCUUCGGGGGAAAGAUUUAUCGCCUUUAGAGCGGCCCGCGUCGGAUUCGCUAGUUGGUGAGGUAAAGGCUCACCAAGGCGACGAUCAGUAGCUGGUCUGAGAGGAUGAUCAGCCACAUUGGGACUGAGACACGGCCCAAACUCCUACGGGAGGCAGCAGUGGGGAAUCUUGCGCAAUGGGCGAAAGCCUGACGCAGCCAUGCCGCGUGAAUGAUGAAGGUCUUAGGAUUGUAAAAUUCUUUCACCGGGGACGAUAAUGACGGUACCCGGAGAAGAAGCCCCGGCUAACUUCGUG